rnacentral:rRNA from 1 species
CGCGUAGGCGGGUUCCCAAGUCUGUGGUGAAAUCCUCCAGCUUAACUGGAGAAGUGCCAUGGAUACUGGAGACCUCGAGGAGGGUAGGGGCAUCUGGAACAGCCGGUGGAGCGGUGAAAUGCGUUGAUAUCGGCUGGAACUCCGAUGGCGAAGGCAAGGUGCUGGACCCUAUCUGACGCUGAGGCGCAAAGCCAGGGGAGCGAACG